rnacentral:rRNA from 1 species
UGAGGAAUAUUCGGCAAUGGGGGCAACCCUGACCGAGCAACGCCGCGUGGAGGAUGACGGUUUUCGGAUUGUAAACUCCUUUUCUCAGGGAAGAGCGAGGACGGUACCUGAGGAAUAAGUCACGGCUAACUACGUGCCAGCAGCCGCGGUAAUACGUAGGUGGCAAGCGUUAUCCGGAAUUACUGGGCGUAAAGCGCACGCAGGUGGCGGCUUAAGUCUGACGUGAAAGCUCCUGGCUUAACUGGGAGAGGUCGUUGGAGACUGGGCGGCUUGAGGCGAGGAGAGGGGUGUAGAAUUCCCGGUGUAGUGGUGGAAUGCGUAGAGAUCGGGAGGAAUACCAGUGGCGAAAGCGGCACCCUGGCCUUGGCCUGACGCUCAGGUGCGAAAGCGUGGGGAGCGAACGGG